rnacentral:rRNA from 1 species
GACGAACGCUGGCGGCGUGCUUAACACAUGCAAGUCGAACGGAAAGGCCCUGCUUUUGUGGGGUGCUCGAGUGGCGAACGGGUGAGUAACACGUGAGUAACCUGCCCUUGACUUUGGGAUAACUUCAGGAAACUGGGGCUAAUACCGGAUAGGAGCUCCUGCUGCAUGGUGGGGGUUGGAAAGUUUCGGCGGUUGGGGAUGGACUCGCGGCUUAUCAGCUUGUUGGUGGGGUAGUGGCUUACCAAGGCUUUGACGGUAGCCGGCCUGAGAGGGUGACCGGCCACAUUGGGACUGAGAUACGGCCCAGACUCCUACGGGAGGCAGCAGUGGGGAAUAUUGCACAAUGGGCGGAAGCCUGAUGCAGCAACGCCGCGUGCGGGAUGACGG